rnacentral:rRNA from 1 species
GACGAACGCUGGCGGCGUGCUUAACACAUGCAAGUCGAACGCUGAAGCUUGGUGCUUGCACUGGGUGGAUGAGUGGCGAACGGGUGAGUAAUACGUGAGUAACCUGCCCUUGACUCUGGGAUAAGCCUGGGGAACUGGGUCUAAUACUGGAUACGACAUGUCACCGCAUGGUGGUGUGUGGAAAGGGUUUUACUGGUUUUGGACGGGCUCACGGCCUAUCAGCUUGUUGGUGGGGUAAUGGCUCACCAAGGCGACGACGGGUAGCCGGCCUGAGAGGGUGACCGGCCACACUGGGACUGAGACACGGCCCAGACUCCUACGGGAGGCAGCAGUGGGGAAUAUUGCACAAUGGGCGGAAGCCUGAUGCAGCGACGCCGCGUGAGGGAUGACGGCCUUCGGGUUGUAAACCUCUUUCAGCACGGAAGAAGCGAAAGUGACGGUACGUGCAGAAGAAGCGCCGGCUAACUACGUG